CUAACCUUUUUCAUUCAGGGCUAUCUUACUCUGCUAUAAAUUCUGCACGCAGUGCAUUAUCUGCCAUAUGCCAGACCAACAAUCACACUAUUCCAUUUGGGCAACAUCCUUUAGUGAAAAGAUUCAUGAAGGGAAACAACCCCCUAUACAUGAGUUAACAUUAAAAGAUCUUACUAUUCGAUUAACGUUCCUUCUUCUAAUACUAAGUGGAAAACGAGGGCAAACUAUCCACCUGCUAAAUUUAACCGACAUGGAUCUAUCUGAAUCGAAAUGUGUAUUUUCAAUCCG